UUGUGCUAGACGGGGAGUUAGCGGUGUCUUGUAACCUGCAAUCCGCUAUAGCAGGGUUGAAGUCCUUGUGUAGGCUUUAGUCUGUAAUGUCUGUCUUAUAAAAGUGGUGUUGAGAGCCGGGUCCCACGCAACGGAAAUUCAUGAAACCCGUCAGGUUCGGAAGAAAGCAGCGGUAAGUGAACACUUCCGUGUGCCGUGGAAAAACCUAGUUUGAGCUAACUAUAUAAGUAACGGUUAUGGGCUAUUGUCGAAGCAAGGUGCACAA
rnacentral:SRP_RNA from 1 species